CUCUCCUGCCCUGCUCACUGUCUGACUAGCCACCCACUGUAACACCGGGUCGGUUUUGUAAACAUAUUAACUUGUUUCCGUGACUGCAAAUAUCCUGUGACUAAGAAUGCCUGAUUUCCUGGCAAUGCAGCCCAGCAGCUCUCAGCCUCAUCUGACCCAGCCCCUAUUCAAGAUGGAGACGCCCUGGUUCAGACGCCUCUGACAGAUGCUCCAAGAUGAUGUGAAGCAGAUACAAGUGCCCUUCUUGUCUCAUGGACUCAAUCAGGAGAUAUGAAGAUUGACAACUGAUUGGCAAAAGUGAAGUCACUGUGUGACCUGUCCUGAAAAGAUGGUGGCUGCAUCUAGAAACAGUGACGUGUUUGGGGAACAAUGGAGUAGAGUCAGAGACGCACCUACUAAGACAUUUUGGCUGCUGGGCACCUGAACAUGAGCAAUGUGAAGCUUCCGACCAGAAGUUUUUUGAAUUGCAUCUCUAAUGACCUAUCAGAUCAGAAGACUGGUAAACCUGGAGCCUCAUCCCAAGAGGUGAUGGUGUCUGGGUUUAUUAUGGAUCGCAGGAUGUAACUAUCAAUCUGGAGCUUUAGGGGGAAGAAGAAAGAAUAUUUUGAACCACACCAGGAGAAUUACCCUAGAGAAUAUAAGUUCACCUGCCAAAAUGGGAGGCUGGCAUCUUUUUGCUCUAUGAGAAGGCUGCUGAGCUAACAGGUCUGCCUUGGCAUAAAUGUCUAGAAGAGCAUGUGUCUCCUGGAGUAUGGGGACAUUUGUGUUUCCAUAAAUUGGCAGCUGCUUCUGGUUAGAGACUUCUAAAAGGUCUGGAAUACUGGAAUACUGGUAUAGUCCAAAAGGGGAAGAUGAAAAGGAGCCGUGGAACAUUGUACCAGGAAGAAGAUGGGACAUUACUCUCCGCAUGCCCUGGAGCUUUCGGAAGACGUAUAAGAGGAUCUUAGUUUCCAUAGCUCCACAUGAAAGAGCAAGCAGGGCUGCUGAUGUCCACUGUGGGCUCCAAGUGAGGGACUGGCCCAUGGGCAGGAGGUGAGGGAGACUUACUUGCUUUUCUCUGAGCUGGUCCACAGGAGCAGAGGAGACUGGGGUGAGCCUCACUCCAGAAUACUUGUAGAGUAUGUGACACCGGUUACCAACCUUGGCUCCACAAAAAUUACCUGUGAACCUUCUAAAAUACACAUAAGAAAUUCUUACUGAAUUGAACUGGGACGAGAUUCCACGUAUCAGGAUUCUGUAAAAGCUCCCCCAGUGACUCAAGAUGAAGUCCGGGUUGAAGACCAGUGAUAUGCAGGAAAUGUGUCCUGUGAUUUGAAACCACAUUCCAUUUGUCAAGCAAGACACUACGGCCACAUAAUGGAGAUCUACUUCCAUAUGAACCAGUGGAUUUCACUCUGCUUAAUGGAAGUGCCUUAGACUACUUCUCAAACCUCAGUCCACGUCAGAAUCACCAAAGGGCCUGAUGCAUCCCAGAUUCCAGUCCCUUCUCUCCAUCCCAGACAUUCUGCUGAGGAAAAACACCGGGCUCCAUUUGAG
rnacentral:lncRNA from 1 species